GCAGUCGUGGCCGAGCGGAUGAGGCGAUGGACUUGAAAUCCAUUGGGGUCUCCCCGCACAGGUUCGAAUCCUGUCGACUGCG
rnacentral:tRNA from 1 species